GUGGGGAAUUUUGGACAAUGGGCGCAAGCCUGAUCCAGCCAUGCCGCGUGAGUGAAGAAGGCCUUCGGGUUGUAAAGCUCUUUCGGCGGGGAAGAAAUGGCAACGGCUAAUAUCCGUUGUUGAUGACGGUACCCGCAUAAGAAGCACCGGCUAACUACGUGCCAGCAGCCGCGGUAAUACGUAGGGUGCGAGCGUUAAUCGGAAUUACUGGGCGUAAAGCGUGCGCAGGCGGUUGUGUAAGUCAGAUGUGAAAUCCCCGGGCUCAACCUGGGAACUGCAUUUGAGACUGCACGGCUAGAGUGUGACAGAGGGGGGUAGAAUUCCACGUGUAGCAGUGAAAUGCGUAGAGAUGUGGAGGAAUACCGAUGGCGAAGGCAGCCCCCUGGGUUACUACUGACGCUCAUGCACGAAAGCGUGGGGAGCAAACAGGAUUAGAUACCCGAGUAGUCC
rnacentral:rRNA from 1 species